UGGUGGGCUUCCAACUCAGUGGAAACAACAUAACACCGUAAGAUAAUCUGCUGAGAGCCAAACAGACAUCUCAAGUGCUACCAUGAGCACUGACGCAGAGAUGGAGGCCUAUGGCCCUGCGGCCAUCUACCUCCGGAAACCAGAGAAGGAGAGGAUUGAGGCUCAGGCAGCUCCUUUUGAUGCCAAAACGGCCUACUUUGUGGCAGAGCCAGAGGAGAUGUAUCUGAAGGGAAAACUUAUCAAAAGGGAGGGUGGCAAAGCCACUGUUGAGACAGUAACAGGAAAGACUUUAACUGUGAAAGAGGAGGACAUCCAUCCAAUGAACCCUCCCAAGUUUGAUAAAAUUGAGGACAUGGCCAUGAUGACCCACCUUAAUGAACCCGCUGUGCUGUACAACCUCAAAGAACGUUUUGCAUCAUGGAUGAUCUAUACUUACUCUGGGCUGUUUUGUGUUGUCGUGAACCCAUACAAGUGGCUUCCGGUGUACGAUGCUCAGGUUGUCAAUGCCUACAGAGGCAAGAAGAGAAUUGAGGCUCCCCCUCAUAUCUUUUCCAUCUCUGACAAUGCCUAUCAGUUCAUGCUCACUGAUCGUGAGAAUCAGUCUAUCCUUAUCACUGGAGAAUCUGGUGCAGGAAAGACUGUCAACACCAAGCGUGUCAUCCAGUACUUUGCAACAAUUGCAGUGGCUGGAGGAAAGAAGUCUGAGGGAAGCUCAGGAAAAAUGCAGGGUUCACUGGAAGAUCAAAUCAUUGCAGCCAACCCUCUGCUGGAGGCCUAUGGUAAUGCCAAGACUGUGAGGAAUGAUAACUCUUCUCGCUUUGGUAAAUUUAUCAGAAUCCACUUUGGUUCUACUGGUAAACUUGCUUCAGCUGAUAUUGAAACAUAUCUGCUGGAGAAGUCUCGUGUCACCUUCCAGUUGUCUGCUGAGAGGAGCUACCAUAUCUUUUACCAGCUGAUGACGGGCCACAAACCUGAGCUCCUUGAGGCUCUUCUUAUCACCACCAACCCGUAUGAUUAUCCAAUGAUCAGCCAGGGUGAAAUCACUGUCAAGAGCAUCAAUGACGUUGAGGAGUUCAUUGCAACUGAUACUGCCAUUGACAUAUUGGGAUUCAGUGCUGAGGAAAAAAUGGGCAUCUACAAGCUAACUGGUGCUGUGAUGCAUCAUGGUAACAUGAAGUUUAAGCAGAAGCAGCGAGAGGAGCAGGCAGAACCUGACGGCACAGAGGUGGCUGAUAAAAUCGCCUACCUGAUGGGCCUAAACUCAGCUGACAUGCUGAAAGCUCUGUGCUACCCAAGAGUCAAGGUUGGAAAUGAGAUGGUCACCAAAGGUCAGACUGUCCCACAGGUUAACAAUGCUGUCAGUGCUCUGUGCAAGUCUGUCUAUGAGAAAAUGUUCUUGUGGAUGGUCAUCCGCAUCAAUGAGAUGUUGGACACAAAGCAGCCAAGACAGUUCUUCAUUGGAGUGCUGGACAUUGCUGGAUUUGAAAUCUUUGAUUACAACAGCUUGGAGCAGCUCUGCAUCAACUUCACCAAUGAGAAACUGCAACAGUUUUUCAAUCACCACAUGUUUGUCCUGGAGCAAGAGGAGUACAAGAAAGAAGGCAUUGAAUGGGAGUUCAUUGACUUUGGCAUGGACUUGGCUGCCUGCAUUGAGCUUAUUGAGAAGCCAAUGGGCAUCUUCUCCAUCCUUGAAGAGGAGUGCAUGUUCCCCAAGGCUACAGACACCUCAUUUAAGAACAAACUGCAUGAUCAGCAUCUUGGCAAGACCAAGGCCUUUGAGAAGCCUAAACCUGCAAAAGGAAAAGCUGAAGCUCACUUUGCCCUGGUUCAUUAUGCUGGAACAGUGGAUUACAACAUAACUGGCUGGCUGGACAAAAACAAGGACCCACUGAACGACUCAGUGGUGCAGCUCUACCAGAAGUCUUCAAACAAACUGCUGUGCUACCUCUAUGCAGCCCAUGCAGGAGCUGAAGAAGCCUCUGGUGGUGCCAAAAAGGGUGGUGGAAAGAAGAAGGGUGGUUCCUUCCAAACUGUGUCAGCACUUUUCAGGGAAAAUCUUGGCAAGCUGAUGACCAAUUUGAGAAGCACUCAUCCACAUUUUGUCCGCUGCUUGAUUCCAAAUGAAUCUAAAACCCCAGGUCUUAUGGAGAACUUCUUGGUCAUCCACCAGCUGAGGUGUAAUGGUGUGCUGGAGGGCAUCAGAAUCUGCAGAAAGGGUUUCCCCAGCAGAAUCCUCUAUGGUGACUUCAAGCAGAGAUACAAAGUAUUGAAUGCCAGUGUCAUCCCUGAGGGACAGUUCAUCGACAACAAGAAAGCUUCAGAGAAGCUGCUUGGUUCCAUUGAUGUUGACCACAGUCAGUACAAGUUUGGACACACUAAGGUGUUCUUCAAAGCUGGUCUGCUGGGUACACUUGAGGAGAUGAGAGAUGAGAAGCUGGCUGAGCUGGUGACCAUGACUCAGGCUCUCUGCAGAGGGUUCCUUAUGCGGAAAGAGUUUGUUAAGAUGAUGGAAAGGAGAGAUGCAAUCUUCACCAUCCAGUACAACGUCCGUUCAUUCAUGAAUGUAAAGAACUGGCCAUGGCUUAAACUCUACUUCAAGAUCAAGCCUCUUCUGAAGAGCGCUGAGACUGAAAAGGAGCUGCAGGAGAUGAAAGGAAACUAUGAGAAGAUGAAAACAGACCUGGCUGCUGCUUUGGCCAAGAAGAAGGAACUGGAGGAGAAAAUGGUUUCUCUGCUGCAGGAAAAGAAUGACCUGCAGCUUCAAGUAGCUGCUGAAACAGAGAAUCUCUCCGAUGCUGAGGAAAGGUGUGAGGGACUCAUUAAGAGUAAAAUCCAGCUGGAGGCCAAACUCAAAGAGACCACUGAGAGACUGGAGGAUGAAGAGGAAAUCAAUGCUGAGCUGACUGCUAAGAAGAGGAAGCUGGAGGAUGAAUGUUCUGAACUGAAGAAGGACAUUGAUGACUUGGAGCUCACCCUGGCUAAAGUGGAGAAGGAGAAACAUGCCACUGAAAACAAGGUGAAAAACCUGACUGAGGAAAUGGCUUCUCAAGAUGAGUCCAUUGCAAAGCUGACCAAGGAGAAGAAAGCCCUCCAAGAGGCCCAUCAACAAACACUGGAUGAUCUCCAGGCAGAGGAAGACAAAGUCAACACUCUGACCAAAGCCAAGACCAAGCUGGAACAGCAAGUGGAUGAUCUUGAAGGUUCAUUGGAGCAAGAGAAGAAGAUCCGCAUGGAUCUUGAGAGAGCCAAGAGGAAGCUGGAAGGAGAUCUGAAACUAGCCCAGGAAUCCAUAAUGGAUCUGGAAAAUGACAAGCAGCAGUCUGAUGAGAAGAUCAAGAAAAAGGACUUUGAAAUCAGUCAGCUCCUCAGCAAGAUUGAAGAUGAACAAUCCCUUGGUGCUCAGCUUCAGAAAAAGAUCAAGGAACUCCAGGCUCGUAUUGAGGAGCUGGAAGAGGAAAUUGAGGCUGAGAGAGCUGCCCGGGCCAAAGUAGAGAAGCAGAGAGCUGAUCUCUCCAGGGAGCUUGAGGAGAUCAGUGAGAGGCUUGAAGAAGCUGGAGGGGCAACAGCUGCUCAGAUUGAGAUGAACAAGAAGCGGGAAGCUGAGUUCCAGAAGCUGAGGAGAGAUCUUGAGGAGUCCACACUGCAGCAUGAAGCUACUGCAGCAGCUCUCCGCAAGAAGCAGGCCGACAGCGUUGCAGAGCUGGGAGAACAGAUCGACAACCUGCAGCGUGUCAAGCAGAAGCUGGAGAAGGAGAAGAGCGAGUACAAGAUGGAGAUUGAUGAUCUCAGCAGCAACAUGGAGGCAGUUGCUAAAUCAAAAGGUAACCUGGAGAAGAUGUGCAGAACUCUUGAGGACCAGCUGAGUGAGCUCAAGGCCAAAAAUGAUGAAAAUGUUCGCCAACUGAAUGACAUCAAUGUACAAAAGGCAAGACUUCAAACGGAAAAUGGUGAAUUUGCUCGCCAGCUUGAGGAAAAAGAAGCUCUAGUUUCUCAGCUGACCAGAGGCAAACAGGCCUUCACUCAGCAGAUUGAGGAGCUGAAGAGACAUGUGGAGGAGGAAGUGAAGGCCAAGAACGCUCUGGCUCAUGCUGUCCAGUCAGCCCGUCAUGACUGUGAUCUGCUCAGAGAGCAGUUUGAGGAGGAGCAGGAGGCCAAGGCUGAGCUGCAGAGAGGAAUGUCCAAGGCCAACAGUGAGGUGGCUCAGUGGAGAACCAAAUAUGAAACUGAUGCCAUCCAGCGCACUGAGGAACUGGAGGAGUCCAAGAAAAAGCUUGCCCAGCGCCUGCAGGAGGCUGAGGAGUCCAUUGAGGCUGUGAACUCCAAGUGUGCCUCUCUGGAGAAGACCAAGCAGAGGCUGCAGGGUGAAGUGGAGGACCUCAUGAUUGAUGUGGAGAGAGCUAAUGCUCUUGCUGCAAACCUGGACAAGAAACAGAGAAACUUUGACAAGGUCCUGGCAGAAUGGAAGCAGAAGUAUGAGGAGAGCCAGGCAGAGCUUGAAGGAGCUCAAAAAGAGGCUCGCUCUCUCAGCACAGAACUGUUCAAGAUGAAGAACUCCUACGAGGAGGCCCUGGAUCAGCUGGAGACCAUGAAGAGGGAGAACAAGAACCUGCAGCAGGAGAUCUCAGACUUGACUGAACAGAUUGGUGAGAAUGGAAAAAGCAUCCAUGAGUUGGAGAAAGCCAAAAAGACUGUUGAAAAUGAAAAGAUUGAACUUCAGACAGCUCUUGAGGAGGCAGAGGGCACUCUAGAACAUGAGGAAUCCAAGAUUCUUAGAGUACAGCUUGAGCUCAACCAGGUCAAAGGUGAGAUUGACAGGAAGCUGGCAGAGAAGGACGAGGAGAUGGAACAGAUCAAGAGGAACAGCCAGAGGGUGAUUGAAUCCAUGCAGAGCACUCUUGAUGCUGAGGUCAGGAGCAGAAAUGAUGCCCUGAGAGUCAAGAAGAAGAUGGAGGGAGACCUGAAUGAGAUGGAGAUUCAGCUCAGCCAUGCCAACAGGCAGGCUGCUGAGGCCCAGAAACAACUCAGGAAUGUUCAGGGACAACUCAAGGAUGCCCAACUGCACCUUGAUGACGCUCUGAGAGGACAAGAAGACAUGAAAGAACAGGUUGCCAUGGUGGAGCGUAGGAAUGGUCUGAUGUUGGCUGAGAUUGAGGAGUUGAGAGCCGCUCUGGAACAGACAGAGAGAGGACGUAAAGUGGCUGAACAGGAGCUGGUGGAUGCCAGUGAACGUGUUGCAUUGCUUCACUCCCAGAACACCAGUCUUCUGAACACCAAGAAGAAGCUGGAGGCUGACUUUGUUCAGGUUCAGGGUGAAGUGGAUGAUGCUGUUCAAGAAGCAAGAAAUGCAGAGGAGAAAGCCAAGAAGGCCAUUACUGAUGCUGCCAUGAUGGCUGAGGAGCUAAAGAAGGAGCAGGACACCAGCUCUCAUCUGGAGAGGAUGAAGAAGAACCUGGAGGUCACAGUGAAGGACCUGCAGCACCGUCUGGAUGAAGCUGAGAACCUGGCUAUGAAGGGUGGAAAGAAGCAGCUCCAGAAACUGGAGUCCAGGGUGCGUGAAUUAGAGGCUGAAGUUGAAACUGAGCAAAGACGUGGAGCUGAUGCGGUUAAAGGCGUUCGCAAAUAUGAAAGAAGAGUGAAGGAGCUCACAUACCAGACUGAGGAGGACAAGAAAAAUGUAAGCAGACUCCAGGAUCUGGUGGAUAAGUUACAGCUCAAAGUAAAGGCCUAUAAGAGACAGGCUGAAGAGGCUGAGGAGCAGGCCAACACCCAUAUGGCCAGACUUAGAAAAGUCCAGCAUGAACUUGAGGAAGCUCAGGAACGUGCCGACAUCGCAGAGACCCAAGUCAACAAGCUGAGAGCCAAAAGUCGUGAUAUUGGAAAGGGUACAGACUCAGCUGAGUAACAGUCAAGAUCCCCUGGGACAGAGACAGAUUCAUAUAAUAUGAACCCCCUCUGUUCAUCUUUAGCUUAUAAAUAAAUGAACUA